GUAUAAUUGGUCUUAGUUGUGUUUGUGGUGUAUGAUGACAUGGUAGUUAUGUCAGUAGUGUAUAAUUGGUUUUAGUUGUGUUGGUGAUGUAUGAUGAGAUGGUAGUUGUGUUGGUAGUGUAUAAUUGGUCUUAGUUGUGUUGGUGGUGUAUAAUGAGAUGGUAGUUGUGUUGGUGGUGUAUAAUUGGUCUUAGUUGUGUUGGUGGUGUAUGCUGAGAUGGUAGUUGUGUUGGUAGUGUAUAAUUGGUCUUAGUUGUGUUGGUAGUGUAUAAUUGGUCUUAGUUGUGUUGGUAGUGUAUAAUUGAUCUUAGUUGUGUUGGUGGUGUAUGAUGAGAUGGUAGUUGUGUUGGUGGUGCAUGAUGAGAUGGUAGUUGUGAUGGUAGUGUAAAAUUGGUCUUAGUUG
rnacentral:lncRNA from 1 species